rnacentral:lncRNA from 1 species
AGUUUCAGAGUUACAUUCACAAAACACAUGGUUUAGCUGUACUCAGAAAACUCUUCCAAACUAAAAUUUAAAAUAUCAAAAAUAAUUCAGAUAUUAAAUAAAAUCUAAAAACAAAAUCAGAGAAGGAAUGUUUAGAUGGUGGCAUAUAUAACACUAAAGUAAACACAUAGAUUCACUAAAAUACUCAAUAGGAACUUUAUACUAAGUCAUUAAUAUACUAGAAUAGUGAAGAAUUGUAGUCCUUUUAAUAUCCCUUGCCUGAAGACAAACAGGUGUAGUCAGAGUAGGGAUUGUUGCUGUAAUGGGCAUUUAGAAGGCAUGCAGAAUAUCAGCACAUUUUAUUGAUAUCUAAAUUCCAUUGGGCCACCUACGUGAUUUUUUUUUUUUUGGUUUUGUUUUGUUUUAACUUACAGAAAGUAGAAAAUCAAAACCUUGAACCCCACACCACAUUGUCUGAGAAGAAAAUCUGUUGUAGGUUAGCACAUGUUUUGUUUUAGCAGUCAACCGUGGAGAAAAACAGGUGAAAGAAGGGGUCCAAAGAAUGGAAGUGACAUUCUAUAGGGUAAAGAGAACAGGCUAUCUUUAAGUGUCUGGCCAAAAUACAUGCUCGGACUGAGUGCAUACGUAGGCAAAGACAGUUAAAGGAGAGUGGGGAGGAGAAAGAUGGAAGGUGAAGAGCUAAGCGUAGAUAAACUGACAGUUUGGUAGUGGGGAUAGGGAAGUGUAGAAAGAAAAUGUGGCCAUUCCCCUUGAGGUGACAGAAAGACUCCAGGGAGAAGAGGCAUUUGGCAGAACAUUCUGCAGGGUGGCCGUCUGCUCUCGAAAUGUCAGCUCAAAACAGCUUGUUGUGUUUUGAAGAGAGCGUAUGAGUUGUGAGAAGCGGGCAGAAACAGAAGGGAAGGCAGUCCAGGAUGGGCUGAGUGUGUGGUGGGUGUUCACGUGGUCACUGGAGGACAGAGGAUUCUGGGAUGACUGUGUCAACUUCGAUGACUGUGUUCAGUCUCCACUGCUUACCGGUUUGGUAAGGGUCAUAGUUCAUAUCCCUCUGUGUCUCUGUUGCUCUGUGUCUGUCUGUCUGUCUGUCUCUCCCUCCCCGCCCCUCUCUGUUCAUGUUUCUGUAUCAAAAGACCGCAUAACCUUUACUUUUCUCCCUGGAAUCACGUGGUUUCCCUUGCCGCAGAAGCAUCUCCAGAUAUUGCCCUGUGUCUGUCUGUAUAUUAGAAAGUAGCAGGCUUGUUCGGAUGGUAGUUAAGCCUUGAGACCCCGAAAGCCAAGAGUCAGGAGAGGUAGCUCGUAUCUACUCUCUGGGUUUCUUUCCUCAUUUUGGAAUAGGAUCUGAUUCUUUAGCCCAGGCUGGAUGCACUUUCUAUCCACAGGGGUACCCUCAAACCCUCUACAGUCUUCCUGCAUCACCCCCAGGAAUGCUGGGAUUAUAGGCAAAGGCCACAAAAUGCCUGGCUUUGAGGAAAAAAAAAUCCAGUUUUUCAACUCAUAUUAUUUUCCAAGAGAUGAACAAAUAUGGCUCAAGUACACAUAAAUAUCAAAGUGAAUUCACCCUGAAGUCCACGUUGCUUAUUGCUCUUCAUCUAACAACAGUCAAAGGGUUAAACUUCAUAGCCUCUAUUUGUGUGUUUAUUUUAUUUCCAUUUGUUCAGUACCCAUUAAAAGUAUAAUAUUACAUUGGUAACUCUCAUUAAAAUGUUGAGUAACUUCUCUUAUUGGAUGACCAUAAAACCAUUUAAAUGGAAUUUCUACUUAAACAAGUGGAAAAUAUUUCUGCUUCCGUCCUUGCCUCUUUUUACUGGGUGUUUGUUGUCCAUGGUCCUUGCAGAGUCAUAAAUAAAACCUGCCAUUUUUUUUUUAAAUUCCUGGUGAGGAUGCAUUUUCAAUAGCAUAUAAAGGGAGAGUAUAGAAAAGGGUGGCCCCAGUUAGGAAAUUAGCUCAUUAUGGUCAAAUGCAGUGAACCAAACGACUUAUCCCGUUGAAGAUGCUGAGCUCCUAAAAAUAGUCAGACUUUUCGAAAUUAGACAAUAAAAGAAAAAUGCGAUUCCUUGUUUUUAUUUGUCACUUUAGUGGCAUUUUUAUUAUUUCCUUCAAAUGUUUUAGCACCAGAUAUAAAUGCCUCCAUCCACAAGGCUAGUCCUUUCCAUUGGAUAGAGGGAGGACUCUUGAAUGUAAAAGGAGGAGUCUGUGAGAUGGAUGGGGUUGGGAGCAAAGGUGGUGCUCCCAUUACACCCUCUCACAACCUGAGGAUGCUGACCUCAGCCCAUAGGUGCUUCUGCAGCCUCUGUCUUUCAUGUGUUGCUCAGAAUCCUCUCAUCGAUAUUUUUUCCCAUUAUUAGAGAAACAAAUAAACUCAUCUCUGCUGGGAUUAAUUUGCCCCAGCCUGAAGCAAUGAGCCUCCACUGGCAGCCACUCCCGAGCUGAAUAAGCAGCCUCCCUGCAUCUGUUGACAAUAUGAAAUCCUCGCAGCCGCCAAUAUUCAUAAGGAGUGGCCCCCACGGGGCGGGGCGUAGCAGUCAAUCACCAACGGAGCCCCGGCCAUUUGAAGAACAGCAUAUAAUUCCAGCUUUUUCUAAGCUAUAUUUAAAUGAAGGCUUUUUUGCUCCCUUGGAUCAGAAUGUGGAGAAUCUGCGUGGACCUAAUUUUACUUGAAGAGACCUAGUUAUAGAGCUGGUUUGGGCUGAAAAUGCCUGAAGGUAUUUCCAGCUGGACAUGGUUCUGUCUUAUGAAACCCUGACAUAAAUAGCUGCUCUCUAGCAGGCCAGUUCCUCCUGCUACAGAUUGUGUGCCGUGAUUGGAAAGGGAACUGUAAAGUUGGGGGGCUCGAUGCAGGAGUCAAAGUGCUUGAGUGUUGGGAGACCAGCGGUGCGAAUUAAUUGGCUGUCCUUAUAGUACAUAUCAUUUAAAUGCAGUACAUCUUUCUUCCUGCAAUGGGUCGUCACAGUUUAGGGAGUGUAACUGAUCGACUCCUUCCCUUCAUUAGUGAGUGUGUGCUGAUGAUUUGUACGACUGCUUAUUUAGAGUCAGGGUUGUCUAUAGCCCAAUGCUCCGUUCUGCAUGCCCUGGUCUUGGAAAGCUGACUUGGCAACGGUAGAAUGAAGCAAUGGCAGACAGACAUACAGAAAAGCCAAGAGUGGAUGAGCUGUGCUGGUUCUGGUGGGAGGGGAGUCGUGGGGCGGGGCAUCUACUAUCCAGCCCAGAGACUCUAGAUCUUCAUUGGGUACAACACAAGAAUGAGGGCUUAGGUCGUCUGCAUGGAAGAAGUCCAGGCUGUAAACUGUAAGCAGCCAGGAGAAGGUAGCUGUGGUUCAUACUGAUCAUAGCAUAAGCUCAGUUGUUCCUCACCACUCAUUAGCAAGGCUGUGACAUUUCUCUAAACCUUCUCCCCUGGGGAAGAGACUUUGCUAUUUCCAUGGGUCUUGGGUAUUGAGGUCUUUGUCAUGGUCUAGGACUCCACCGACUCUCCACAGCCUUGUCUGGCUUGAACUUCUUAUUUUCUUAACUCCAUCUUCUGAGUGCUGGCAUUACAAGCAUGUUUAUUGCAUUUUUUUAAGUGCUAAAGACUCAACCUAGAAAUCCAUGCAUGCUAAGGAAUCACUUUCCUAACUGAGCUAUACCAAAAAUUCCCCGUGAUCUUUUAUUUUACUUCGUUUUUAACCUAGGUGUGUAUGGAGAGGGCGGCCAGGUACCUUUUCUUAGGAAGAGAGAUUUGAGUUUGUGUGGGUACCUCACCAAGCUUUCCAAGGGUAAAAAUAUUCAAAUAUACUCCUUUGUAGUCACAAAAAUACAACAGAAUAGGACUGCGCUUGUUAUGCAGGUGAAUUUAUUUGAUGACACCUUAAAAAAAGAUAUUAUGUAUCGACCUUCUGAUUCUAGUUUGCAUAACUAGGUGAAUUGAUAUUGCUAGAGGGAUUAAUGCAUAUAAUCUAAAAUGAUUUUAGUAUGAUUUACCAGUGAAGAACAAACCGUCCCACACUGUGACUUCUGUAGUAACUCAAAGGUGUUCAGUGAACCUUCUGUAGUUUAAUGGAUCUAAAGCUAACAUAUCUAAGGUUGUAUGUUAUGUGUUAUCCAGGGUCCUGUGAGACUUACCUGUCAUCCUGGGGGAAUGGCUACAGCUCACUUCUUUGCUUUCAGAACAGUCCCGGGUUCUGAUUGGCUCUGUGUGUUCUAGAUACAAAAUCCAAAUUAAAAGG